GUAGGGGGCGAGCGUUGUCCGGAUUUAUUGGGCGUAAAGAGCUCGUAGGCGGUUGCGUAAGUCGGAUGUGAAAACUCAGGGCUCAACCCUGAGAUGCCAUUCGAUACUGCGCUGACUCGAGUCCGGUAGGGGAGCAUGGAAUUCCUGGUGUAGCGGUGAAAUGCGCAGAUAUCAGGAGGAACACCAGUGGCGAAGGCGGUGCUCUGGGCCGGUACUGACGCUGAGGAGCGAAAGCAUGGGUAGCAAACAGGAUUAGAUACCCUGGUAGUCCCAUGCCCGUAAACGUUGGGCACUAGGUGUGGGGCCUACUUAACGGGUUCCGUGCCGUAGCUAACGCAUUAAGUGCCCCCGCCUGGGAGUACGGCAGCAAGGCUA
rnacentral:rRNA from 1 species